GGGAGGGAUUUAAGAGAAAGGGCGUGAUCUUUUGGGAUUGGUCGGCGUUGGGACACAGGAGUGGGUCCGGAGAUAUAAUUAGUACCAGAAACAGGAGCAGCUUAAUGGCAGAGUGGGAGGGGCUUUGGAGAAGGGGCGUAGUUCUCUGAUAGGGCAGGGGGAGAACAGUAAGGGGGCGUCAUCUAAGGGAUUGGUCCUAGUGAGAGGGCUUGGUUUAGACUGGCAGAUGGGCAGGACUUCGGAGAAAUGGACAAAACCCAAUUGGGGAAGGGGGCAAAAGAACAGAUUGCUUAUCGGGGAGCUCUGCUUCCAAGGGCAUGGAGCCCUCUGCUGGGGCAUUCAACCAGGCUGUCCUUUCUCCACCUUCUCUAGGGCAGCCUGGAUAACAUGAUCUGCAUUCUGGUCUGCUUCACCGGGGUCCCAAGGCCUUGUGAGGAGGCAAUCAGGAAGGAGCUAGCACUGGACACAGCUCUGGGCCGCAGGGUCACCAGUGGGCAAGCUCUAGGAGCGCAGCGGGACGGGUGGUCGGCAAGCAGGGGUACCCAAAUAACCCUUGCCUCCUUGUCAGAGCUGUGUUCCUCUGUCCAGGAACCCCCAGCUUGAACAGGGUUUUCUAGACUCUGGCCUCAGAGGACAUCCCAGAUUUACCUCCUGGGGGAGGUCUGUACUGCAAGGCCUCUGUCAUCGCCGAAGUUUAUUCUCAGCUCUGCCAGGUCUCAGGGAAGCACUGGGAGGCAGGGUCUCUUCAUGAGGUAGCAGAGAGUUCCAGUUUCAGCCUCACAUCACCCAAGCCUAACAUCCUCAGUGGAGAGAAGGUACCAGUUCCCCAGUAGUUACAGCAGUGGUUUCAGAGCCGGUUCUCCUUGGCCACACUGGGUCACACGGCUGCCCAAGUCACUGUUGUCUCUGAUUGGCCAGGCUAUGGUCACAUGUCCAUCCUCGCUUAGGGUUGGGGGUCUACUGCAUCCAAACCUGAUGGAUUGAGAGAUGGGGAAUGGGGUCCCUCAAAGAAAACUAGGAGUGGUGCUUUCAGAAUAUAGGGGAAUAGAUACUGAGAAGAAAGUAAUAUACCAACUCAUACAUUUUUGUGUUACAGAAUGGGCAGAAUGGGGCUGGGAAGGCCACUGGCACUCAUUCAAGCUCUGCCUUGGACUUGGAGGCCUGACAGCUGUUGUCCUUUGGGGACCCUCUGCCCAACUGGGGCCCCAACAGAAUUAAGAAAACUCUCUUUCCCCAGCUACACAGACCAGCGGAAGGAAGACGAGCUGAUGGAGGAAACCCAGAAUGCUUAUUUCCUCUUCUCCUACUUCCCCGUCACAGAAAGUCUUAUGAGGGGAAGUUCCACCCACCAGCUACGGUAUGGGGGGGGGGAGGGGAGAAAAAAACCAAACCAUGGACCUUGGAGUUCCAGCGGUUCAAUAACCUUCUCUCCCCUCUCUAUUUUUCAUCUGUUUUGGGGGCAGGUGGAGGAGAAUUUUUAUUAUUAAAUGUUAAUUACAUGAUUCAAAAUACAUUUUUCUUAUAGAAAAAAAACUCCACAUUAUUUUCCCAGUCAUUUGGCAAAUAUAUAUUGGGCACCUGUUCAUGGCCAUCAACCAGGGGGACUCACUGAGAUCCGUGCCUAUUCUAGGGGCCCACCUAGUGUGUGUGUGUGGAAAGACAGCAAACAAGAGAACCAAUAAGUAAGGUCAUUUCAGACACUGACAAGUGUCUCAAGGGGAU